ncrna:unclassified sequences L31-Gammaproteobacteria ribosomal protein leader
CGUAUGGUGUCUGACAGUAAGCUGAUCAGAUAGCGAUACGGCCCUAACGAGGU